UUAUUUCUUGUAUUUGAUUCAGACACAUGGGCUUAUUGCAGCAUAAAUGCGACGCCAAAGGCGCCGAAGCACAUGUUGCUUCCACAGGUUUGUAAGGUUGAAGGCCCAGGGCCAUUCAGUAAUGAUCCCUCCGCAGGUUCACCUACGGAGA
rnacentral:misc_RNA from 1 species